rnacentral:sRNA from 1 species
UCGUAUUCGAAUGCGUGCCCUACAAGG